rnacentral:tmRNA from 1 species
GGGGAUGUUUUGGCUUCGACGGGUGUAUCGCGCUUCAGGUCGCGUGUCGAGCGUCUUGGUGAGCUCGUAAAUCCUGCCUUGAAACACGUAAAUGCGAAUGAUUAUUCAUACGCGAUGGCCGCUUAAUUAGUCCUAGUAACUAGUUAAGCCUUGCUAUCUGUCGACCUGAGUGCCUGUCUAUCGGCGCUCAGACUCGGCAUCGACUGAUGAUAGAAUAGCAGACAAAUUGCCGACUGAGGUUUGUCUGUAAAAUUUUCCAGUCUUGGUUGCAGCGGUGCCAUGUAGACCGGCUUUCCUCUGCAGCGACACUCGAAUAGGUCGACUACACAUGUAGACGCCUGCUUGUUCGGACAUUCGGACCCGGGUUCGAUUCCCGGCAUCUCCACUA